rnacentral:misc_RNA from 1 species
UCCUAGGAUUCAUUUCAGUGAUUCCAAGUGUCUGAUGCAAGCAGAUGGUCACUGUGAUUCCUAUUGCUUGCCAUAAACAAGCAAUAAAGAAUCUACAGACGGCUGAGAGCAGCAAAUCUCAAACAACUUUCCCUUAUUUUUGCUAGCAAUUUUGAAAGCGAAGGUAGCAUACUGGGAGGGAAUAAUUUCAAGUAAGAAUUCUACUUGCCAAAUUAGAACUG